UACGAAGGGGGCUAGCGUUGCUCGGAAUCACUGGGCGUAAAGGGCGCGUAGGCGGAUCUUUAAGUCGGGGGUGAAAUCCUGGAGCUCAACUCCAGAACUGCCUUUGAUACUGGAGAGCUCGAGUCCGGAAGAGGUGAGUGGAACUCCGAGUGUAGAGGUGAAAUUCGUAGAUAUUCGGAAGAACACCAGUGGCGAAGGCGGCUCACUGGUCCGGUACUGACGCUGAUGUGCGAAAGCGUGGGGAGCAAACAGG
rnacentral:rRNA from 1 species